CCCCUCUCAGGAUGGAACCUGGAGAGUUUUCAGUACUUUACCAGUUUCGGCUCUGGGAGGGAGAGUCAAGUAGGGACAUGUCCAUUCCAUUCCUAGCUUGGGAAGUGGCUAGUGAGUGGAAGGCAAUCUGCUACAAGU